UGGGGAAUCUUGCACAAUGGAGGAAACUCUGAUGCAGCGACGCCGCGUGAGCGAUGAAGCCCUUCGGGGUGUAAAGCUCUUUCGACGGGAACGAUAAUGACGGUACCCGGAGAAGAAGCUGCGGCUAACUACGUGCCAGCAGCCGCGGUAAUACGUAGGCAGCAAACGUCGUUCGGAAUUACUGGGCGUAAAGAGUGUGUAGGCGGUUUUGCAAGUUUGGUGUGAAAUCUCCCGGCUUAACUGGGAGGGUGCGCCGAAAACUGCAAGGCUCGAGUACUGGAGAGGAAAGCGGAGUUCCUGGUGUAGCGGUGAAAUGCGUAGAUAUCAGGAGGAACACCGGUGGUGUAGACGGCUUUCUGGACAGUCACUGACGCUGAGACACGAAAGCGUGGGGAGCAAACA
rnacentral:rRNA from 1 species